GAUGAACGCUGGCGGCGUGCCUAAUACAUGCAAGUCGAGCGAACAGACGAGGAGCUUGCUCCUCUGACGUUAGCGGCGGACGGGUGAGUAACACGUGGAUAACCUACCUAUAAGACUGGGAUAACUUCGGGAAACCGGAGCUAAUACCGGAUAAUAUAUUGAACCGCAUGGUUCAAUAGUGAAAGACGGUUUUGCUGUCACUUAUAGAUGGAUCCGCGCCGCAUUAGCUAGUUGGUAAGGUAACGGCUUACCAAGGCAACGAUGCGUAGCCGACCUGAGAGGGUGAUCGGCCACACUGGAACUGAGACACGGUCCAGACUCCUACGGGAGGCAGCAGUAGGGAAUCUUCCGCAAUGGGCGAAAGCCUGACGGAGCAACGCCGCGUGAGUGAUGAAGGUCCUCAGAUCGUAAAACUCUGUUAUUAGGGAAGAACAAAUGUGUAAGUAACUAUGCACGUCUUGACGGUACCUAAUCAGAAAGCCACGGCUAACUACGUG
rnacentral:rRNA from 1 species